rnacentral:rRNA from 1 species
UUACUGCUAUCGAGGUUCGACUAAGCCAUGCGAGUCGAAUGUAGCAAUACAUGGCGUACUGCUCAGUAACACGUGGACAACCUACCCUUUGGACGGGGAUAAACCCGGGAAACUGGGUAUAAUACCCGAUAGACCUGGGAUGCUGGAAUGCACCCAGAUUGAAAGCUCCGGUGCCGAAGGAUGGGUCUGCGGCCUAUCAGGUAGUAGUGGGUGUAGCGUACCUACUAGCCUACGACGGGUACGGGUUGUGAGAGCAAGAGCCCGGAGAUGGAUUCUGAGACACGAAUCCAGGCCCUACGGGGUGCAGCAGGCGCGAAAACUUUACAAUGCUGGCAACAGCGAUAAGGGAACCUCGAGUGCCAGGUUACAAAUCUGGCUGUCGUGAUGCCUAAAAAGCAUCGCAUAGCAAGGGCCGGGCAAGACCGGUGCCAGCCGCCGCGGUAACACCGGCGGCUCGAGUGGUAACCGUUAUUAUUGGGUCUAAAGGGUCUGUAGCCGGCCGGA